GGGGCGGAUGUAGCCAAGUGGAUCAAGGCAGUGGAUUGGUACUC
rnacentral:tRNA from 1 species